AUUGAACGCUGGCGGUAGGCCUAACACAUGCAAGUCGAACGAGUGGCGGACGGGUGAGGAAUACAUCGGAAUCUACUCUGUCGAGGGGGAUAACGUAGGGAAACUUACGCUAAUACCGCAUACGAUUGAAUGAGCCGCUGUGGGAUUAGCUAGUUGGCGGGGUAAAGGCCCACCAAGGCGACGAUCCGUAGCUGGUCUGAGAGGAUGCUCAGCCACACUGGAACUGAGACACGGUCCAGACUCCUACGGGAGGCAGCAGUGGGGAAUAUUGGACAAUGGGCGAAAGCCUGAUCCAGCCAUGCCGCGGGUGUGAAGAAGGUCUUCGGAUUGUAAAGCACUUUAAGUGGGGAGGCGUUACCAACAGAAUAAGCACCGGCUAACUUCGUGCCAGCAGCCGCGGUAAUUC
rnacentral:rRNA from 1 species